UCGAGAAUCUUCGGCAAUGGACGCAAGUCUGACCGAGCGACGCCGCGUGGAGGAUGAAGGCCUUCGGGUUGUAAACUCCUGUCAGAGGGAAGGAAAUUUUGACCGAUCCUCAAAGGAAGCCCGGGCUAAGUUCGUGCCAGCAGCCGCGGUAACACGAACCGGGCAAACGUUAUUCGGAAUUACUGGGCUUAAAGGGUGCGUAGGCGGCUAUGUAGGUGGGGUGUGAAAUCCCUCGGCUCAACCGAGGAACUGCGCUCCAAACCACAUAGCUUGAGGGAGAUAGAGGUGAGCGGAACUAGCAGUGGAGCGGUGAAAUGCGUUGAUAUUGCUGGGAACACCUGUGGCGAAAGCGGCUCACUGGGUCUCUUCUGACGCUGAGGCACGAAAGCUAGGGUAGCGAACGGGAUUAGAUACCCCCGUAGUCC
rnacentral:rRNA from 1 species